GAUGAACGCUGGCGGCGUGCUUAACACAUGCAAGUCGAACGAUGAAGCCCAGCUUGCUGGGUGGAUUAGUGGCGAACGGGUGAGUAACACGUGAGUAACCUGCCCUUGACUCUGGGAUAAGCCUGGGAAACUGGGUCUAAUACUGGAUAUGACUUCUCAUCGCAUGGAUGGGGGUGGAAAGAUUUAUUGGUAUUGGAUGGACUCGCGGCCUAUCAGCUUGUUGGUGAGGUAAUGGCUCACCAAGGCGACGACGGGUAGCCGGCCUGAGAGGGUGACCGGCCACACUGGGACUGAGACACGGCCCAGAAUCCUACGGGAGGCAGCAGUCGGGAAUAUUGCACAAUGGGCGCAAGUCUGAUGCAGAGACGUCGCGUGAGGGAUGACCUCCUUCGGGUUGUAAACCUAUUUCAGUAUGGAAGAAGCGAGAGUGACGGUACCUGCAGAAGAAGCGCCGGCUAACUACGUG
rnacentral:rRNA from 1 species